rnacentral:rRNA from 1 species
UACAGAGGUCCCAAGCGUUGUUCGGAUUCAUUGGGCGUAAAGGGUGCGUAGGUGGCGCCAUAAGUCAGGUGUGAAAUUUCGGAGCUUAACUCCGAAACUGCAUUUGAUACUGUGGUGCUUGAGGACUGGAGAGGAGACUGGAAUUUACGGUGUAGCAGUGAAAUGCGUAGAGAUCAUAAGGAAGACCAGUGGCGAGGGCGGGUCUCUGGACAGUUCCUGACACUGAGGCACGAAGGCCAGGGGAGCAAACGGG